AACGCACCUUGCGCUCCUUGGUAUUCCGAGGAGCAUGCCUGUUUGAGUGUCAUUUAAUUCUCAACCAUGCCUCGAUUGAUUUCGAGACCCAUGGCUUGGAUUUUGGGUGUUGCCGGAGACCCUUUCUUGGGUCUUGGGCUCUCCUUAAAAGCAUUAGCAACGGCGGGCGAGUCCCUGCAUGCACGGCCUUCGACGUGAUAAUGAUCGUCGUGGCUGGAGUGUAGAGGGCGUUGCGAAUCGUCGGUGCUUCUAAAUCGUGACUUUUCGCUUUGGCGGAAAAGAACUCUUUGAAAUUUGACCUCAAAUCAGGUAGGACUACCCGCUGAACUUAA
rnacentral:misc_RNA from 1 species